CGACUCCCGCCCGGUAAAGGCUAACCACCAGCCGGAAGCGAGCCUUGCAUGCGAGUGUGGUAACGCACUACUUGAAGCGUAGGCAGCAGGUAUCAAAACCGCGUGAUUGAGUCUCGAAAUCGCUAAUGUUGGCGUCUUCAGUGUCAAGGGCCUGGGGACAGUACUGCGUUGCCGCCAAGGUGAGGCAACGACGGGCCGGCCGGGAUCUGAGAGCG
rfam:Candidatus Accumulibacter sp. BA-91 contig000023, whole genome shotgun sequence.